CACAUGCAAGUCGAACGGCAGCAUGAUCUAGCUUGCUAGAUUGAUGGCGAGUGGCGAACGGGUGAGUAAUACAUCGGAACGUGCCCUGUAGUGGGGGAUAACUAGUCGAAAGAUUAGCUAAUACCGCAUACGACCUGAGGGUGAAAGUGGGGGACCGCAAGGCCUCAUGCUAUAGGAGCGGCCGAUGUCUGAUUAGCUAGUUGGUGAGGUAAAGGCUCACCAAGGCGACGAUCAGUAGCUGGUCUGAGAGGACGAUCAGCCACACUGGGACUGAGACACGGCCCAGACUCCUACGGGAGGCAGCAGUGGGGAAUUUUGGACAAUGGGGGCAACCCUGAUCCAGCAAUGCCGCGUGUGUGAAGAAGGCCUUCGGGUUGUAAAGCACUUUUGUCCGGAAAGAAAUCGCACUUACUAAUAUUAGGUGUGGAUGACGGUACCGGAAGAAUAAGGACCGGCUAACUACGUGCCAGCAGCCGCGGUAAUACGUAGGGUCCAAGCGUUAAUCGGAAUUACUGGGCGUAAAGCGUGCGCAGGCGGUUGUGCAAGACCGAUGUGAAAUCCCCGGGCUUAACCUGGGAAUUGCAUUGGUGACUGCACGGCUAGAGUGUGUCAGAGGGGGGUAGAAUUCCACGUGUAGCAGUGAAAUGCGUAGAGAUGUGGAGGAAUACCGAUGGCGAUGCAGCCCCCUGGGAUAACACUGACGCUCAUGCACNAAAGCGUGGGGAGCAAACAGGAUUAGAUACCUGGGUAGGUCCACGCCCUUAAAGGAUGUUCAACUAGUUGUAGGGGAUUCAUUUCCUUAAGUAACGUAGCUAAAGGCGUGAAAGUUGACCGCCUGGGGGAGUACGGUCGCAAAGAUUAAAACUCAAAGGAAUUGACGGGGACCCGCACAAGCGGUGGAUGAUGUGGAUUAAUUUCGAUGCAACGCGAAAAACCUUACCUACCCUUGACAUGCCACUAACGAAGCAGAGAUGCAUUAGGUGCUCGAAAGAGAAAGUGGACACAGGUGCUGCAUGGCUGUCGUCAGCUCGUGUCGUGAGAUGUUGGGUUAAGUCCCGCAACGAGCGCAACCCUUGUCUCUAGUUGCUACGAAAGGGCACUCUAGAGAGACUGCCGGUGACAAACCGGAGGAAGGUGGGGAUGACGUCAAGUCCUCAUGGCCCUUAUGGGUAGGGCUUCACACGUCAUACAAUGGUGCAUACAGAGGGUUGCCAAGCCGCGAGGUGGAGCUAAUCCCAGAAAAUGCAUCGUAGUCCGGAUCGUAGUCUGCAACUCGACUACGUGAAGCUGGAAUCGCUAGUAAUCGCGGAUCAGCAUGCCGCGGUGAAUACGUUCCCGGGUCUUGUACACACCGCCCGUCACACCAUGGGAGUGGGUUUUGCCAGAAGUAGUUAGCCUAACCGCAAGGGGGGCGAUUACCACGGCAGGGUUCAUGACUGGGGUGAAGUCGUAAC
rnacentral:rRNA from 1 species